UACGUAGGGCGCAAGCGUUGUCCGGAAUUACUGGGCGUAAAGCGUGCGUAGGUGGUCUUUUAAGUCCGUUGUGAAAGCCCUGGGCUCAACCUGGGAAUGGCAGUGGAUACUGGAAGGCUGGAGUACGGUAGAGGAGGGUGGAAUUCCCGGUGUAGCGGUGAAAUGCGUAGAGAUCGGGAGGAACAUCAGUGGCGAAGGCGGCCCUCUGGACCAGUACUGACGCUGAGGCACGAAAGCGUGGGGAGCAAACAGG
rnacentral:rRNA from 1 species